UGUGCAGAAUUGAGGCCCAAGCUAGGCCAUCUUAACAAUGAGAUAUCAAUGCAAGUUUACUUGUGUUGGACCUGUCGUCAGCAACAAUCUUAAUAUCGUCACAUGGAUAAACAACAUCCAGUUUAAGUGGAGAAACUACUGAUGUUGAUAGAGUUUUUUUUCCCUUUCUUUAAAAUGUCCUUGUGUAUGCCCAUGUGAGUGUGGGUGUAUUCACGAGGACCCCCUUUUUGGCUUUUUCCUAUAUCCUGCCUGACCGUGUCUUUUCUCGAACUCUUCAACGGAUGGAGCAUUUGUGAAUGCCUGGCCGCAUUUCCCAGUUAAAAAUCGCCAAAGAUUGUGUCAAUACUGACCAACAUCAUGAAACACUUUGUACCUGAGAAACCAUGAGUAAGAUCAAAAACCUCGGACACGACACACGAUGAUAAAGAAUGGAAAGUGGCUUUUCUGGAACACGCCAAUCUCGAAGAGUUACCUGCUUGCUACAGCGGAACGAGGACCUAUCCCGAUGGAAAUCCCAACUGCACUACA